UCCCAAACCCAGGAGAGUUCCGAGGUAAAGCAGUUUAUUACUUGAAGUUGGGACAGAGUAUAUGAAGUCAAGUAUGGUCUUUCACUAAUUACACCUACUUUGAUCUAGUAAAUUGCAUGUGUUAAUGGUGAUAACUAUACACCUUAGUAAUUCAUAAAAAGGCUAAUGGAGUAUAUAUAUAUAUGUUUAUAUAUGUAUAUAGAUGUAAUACUUUUCCGAGAUAAAUGUACUUAACCGAAUUUGGUUCUCUUGAGAGAUUUAACCACAUGGUGAAGUUAUUAAGCAUUAUGCGAAUUAUCAGAUAUUUGUUAAAGAAUGUGUUAUAACCUCACAACUUUAGUAUGUGAUUGAUAGAUGGGUUUGAGUAUUUAGGAGUCGUUCCUUAAUGAACUAAUUAGACUUAAAAUUUGGUGAUGCAUUGGAAAUAAAAAUGAUGAAUAUUUAGAAUUUAUUAUAAGAGAGUUUGUUACGAAGAGUGAUUAGUUACAAGGGAACAAAGGAAGACUACUACUUAGAUAAGAAUAGUAAACCUAGUGAGGAUUUGUCUAAUUGACGUUUAUUUUAUUACAUGAUCGUCUAUGCCAACGAUGAUAUCUGAAGACGCGAGUCAAGGGCAUAAGUAGGAUUUCUCCGAAGUACUAGUACCAAAGCUAAGAUUUCCAGGAUGAGCAAGGAGAGAGAUUGGGGAAUCGCUGGAGGGCUGUUGUUCAUAGACGACCCUUUUGAGUACCGUAUUUUACUUCUAUACGGUUGUGCGAAUAGUUGAAGACUAUGUUCUUGAAACUUAAUUAGGAUUGUUACUCUCAGCUAUAUGUCUUCAUACAUAUAGUCUGAUCACGCUAUGUUGUGCUACCCUGAACAAUAUGAAUCAUUGUAACUAUUUAGCUAUACUCCCUUUUGUUUAUGUUGACUAGAACCUUGAUACAUUUGAAUGAAUGAAGCUGAUAAUGUUUCUUUUAA